rnacentral:rRNA from 1 species
UACGUAGGGUGCGGGCGUUAAUCGGAAUUACUGGGCGUAAAGCGUGCGCAGGCGGUUUUGUAAGCCAGAUGUGAAAUCCCCGGGCUUAACCUGGGAAUGGCAUUUGGGACUGCAAGGCUUGAGUGCGGCAGAGGAGACUGGAAUUCCUGGUGUAGCAGUGAAAUGCGUAGAUAUCAGGAGGAACACCGAUGGCGAAGGCAGGUCUCUGGGCUGACACUGACGCUCAUGCACGAAAGCGUGGGGAGCAAACAGG